AGAGUUUGAUCCUGGCUCAGGACGAACGCUGGCGGCGUGCCUAAUACAUGCAAGUAGAACGCUGAAGAGAGGAGCUUGCUCUUCUUGGAUGAGUUGCGAACGGGUGAGUAACGCGUAGGUAACCUGCCUUGUAGCGGGGGAUAACUAUUGGAAACGAUAGCUAAUACCGCAUAACAAUGGAUGACACAUGUCAUUUAUUUGAAAGGGGCAAUUGCUCCACUACAAGAUGGACCUGCGUUGUAUUAGCUAGUAGGUGAGGUAACGGCUCACCUAGGCGACGAUACAUAGCCGACCUGAGAGGGUGAUCGGCCACACUGGGACUGAGACACGGCCCAGACUCCUACGGGAGGCAGCAGUAGGGAAUCUUCGGCAAUGGGGGCAACCCUGACCGAGCAACGCCGCGUGAGUGAAGAAGGUUUUCGGAUCGUAAAGCUCUGUUGUAAGUCAAGAACGAGUGUGAGAGUGGAAAGUUCACACUGUGACGGUAGCUUACCAGAAAGGGACGGCUAACUACGUGCCAGCAGCCGCGGUAAUACGUAGGUCCCGAGCGUUGUCCGGAUUUAUUGGGCGUAAAGCGAGCGCAGGCGGUUUGAUAAGUCUGAAGUUAAAGGCUGUGGCUCAACCAUAGUUCGCUUUGGAAACUGUCAAACUUGAGUGCAGAAGGGGAGAGUGGAAUUCCAUGUGUAGCGGUGAAAUGCGUAGAUAUAUGGAGGAACACCGGUGGCGAAAGCGGCUCUCUGGUCUGUAACUGACGCUGAGGCUCGAAAGCGUGGGGAGCGAACAGGAUUAGAUACCCUGGUAGUCCACGCCGUAAACGAUGAGUGCUAGGUGUUGGAUCCUUUCCGGGAUUCAGUGCCGCAGCUAACGCAUUAAGCACUCCGCCUGGGGAGUACGACCGCAAGGUUGAAACUCAAAGGAAUUGACGGGGGCCCGCACAAGCGGUGGAGCAUGUGGUUUAAUUCGAAGCAACGCGAAGAACCUUACCAGGUCUUGACAUCCCGAUGCUAUUUCUAGAGAUAGAAAGUUACUUCGGUACAUCGGUGACAGGUGGUGCAUGGUUGUCGUCAGCUCGUGUCGUGAGAUGUUGGGUUAAGUCCCGCAACGAGCGCAACCCCUAUUGUUAGUUGCCAUCAUUCAGUUGGGCACUCUAGCGAGACUGCCGGUAAUAAACCGGAGGAAGGUGGGGAUGACGUCAAAUCAUCAUGCCCCUUAUGACCUGGGCUACACACGUGCUACAAUGGUUGGUACAACGAGUUGCGAGUCGGUGACGGCAAGCUAAUCUCUUAAAGCCAAUCUCAGUUCGGAUUGUAGGCUGCAACUCGCCUACAUGAAGUCGGAAUCGCUAGUAAUCGCGGAUCAGCACGCCGCGGUGAAUACGUUCCCGGGCCUUGUACACACCGCCCGUCAA
rnacentral:rRNA from 1 species